rnacentral:rRNA from 1 species
UACGGGGGGAGCAAGCGUUGUUCGGAUUUACUGGGCGUAAAGGGCGCGUAGGCGGUCGUGACAAGUCACUUGUGAAAUCUCCGGGCUUAACUCGGAACGGUCAAGUGAUACUGUCGGACUAGAGUACAGAAGGGGCAACUGGAAUUGUCGGUGUAGCGGUGAAAUGCGUAGAGAUCGACAAGAACACCGGUGGCGAAGGCGGGUCUCUGGACAGUUCCUGACGCUGAGGGACGAAAGCUAGGGGAGCAAACGGG